GACGAACGCUGGCGGCGUGCUUAACACAUGCAAGUCGAGCGGUAAGGCCCUUUCGGGGGUAUACGAGCGGCGAACGGGUGAGUAACACGUGAGCAACCUGCCCUUCUCUUUGGAAUAAGCGUUGGAAACGACGUCUAAUGCCGAAUAUGACCCCCUGUCGCAUGGUGGGGGGUGGAAAGCUCUGGCGGAGAAGGAUGGGCUCGCGGCCUAUCAGCUUGUUGGUGUGGGUAAUGGCCCACCAAGGCGACGACGGGUAGCCGGCCUGAGAGGGUGACCGGCCACACUGGGACUGAGACACGGCCCAGACUCCUACGGGAGGCAGCAGUGGGGAAUAUUGGACAAUGGGCGAAAGCCUGAUCCAGCAACGCCGCGUGAGGGAUGACGGCCUUCGGGUUGUAAACCUCUUUCAGCAGGGACGAAGCGAGAGUGACGGUACCUGCAGAAGAAGGACCGGCCAACUACGUGCCAGCCGCCGCCGUAA
rnacentral:rRNA from 1 species